rnacentral:rRNA from 1 species
GAUAAACGCUGGCGGCGUGCCUAAUGCAUGCAAGUCGAACGGUCUAGCUCGCAAGAGCUAGGUAGUGGCAAACGGGUGAGUAACACGUGGGGAUCUGCCCAGUAGUGGGGAACAACUCCGAGAAAUCGGAGCUAAUACCGCAUACGGUCCCUGUAGAGAUACAGGAGACUAAAGCGAGCAAUCGCGCUAUUGGAGGAACCUGCGGCUGAUUAGCAGUUGGUGGGUAAGGCCUACCAAGGCGAUGAUCAGUAGCUGGUCUGAGAGGAUGGACAGCCACACUGGGACUGAGAUACGGCCCAGACUCCUACGGGAGGCAGCAGCAAGGAAUUUUUCGUCAAUGGGGAAACCCUGAACGAGCAACGCCGCGUGGGCGAAGAAGUCUUUCGGGAUGUAAAGUCCCUUUUCCCUGUGAAGAAAGAAAGAACGGUAACGAAGGGAAGUAAGCA